ACUCCUGACUUAUCGUAGUCCGGUUGCUGGAGUGCGACCCUCAGGUGAAGAAGUGCCAGUGCUGUAGACGGAACUUUUUAAUAGACCUCACUCAAGGUCUCUGCUUACCCCUUGACCUGAAACUCGACCUCGCCAGUACACAAGAACGUGGACCCCUAAUUUUCGGUUAUAUGUUAAACAAGUAAAAGAAAAUCUCCAUACAUUGUAACUAAGCAUGCUAAUCAACCAUGAAUUCUUGUACCUAUGGGUGUGAAAGGUCCUACCGAGUUCGACAAGACUAUCAACUAUAUCUAAAUUUACUGAUCCUCUUGGAUUCACCGAGUAAGUAUGCGGUGGUAAAGGUUAUAUAUACCCCGUCAAGAAUUUGCACGUUUACAAGUUCUUUACUCACGAGAGUAAACAGUACGGUACCUUCAUACCAAACUUCAAAGGAAUGACGUUUCUAAAAAGAAGUUGUAGAUACUCGACCGAUCGUUUUAAUAACAUUGAUGUUAAGUGUAGUCUAUAUUCCGCUGUUUAUCCCGUAGUAGAUCCAGGUAUGUAGAAUUAUAGUAAAAGUGACUGCCAACGAAACGAUAGUAUCAGUAACAAAUACUGUCUUACAUAUUUGGUGUACCUCGAACACUGUAGCCUACUUCGAUCGCGUGCCGCCGUAUGUUGUCCUCGAUAAUCUCGACCAACAAUGUGCCCGUACUACAUCACGGGUCCUACGAGAAGCCUACCGAGGGUCCUACCCUAACUUGGGUCAACUCCAGGAACCCUUUAGUCCGGGAGGACAAAGGUUCUAGUAUCCGAAAGUGUUUCUGUUCAUAUGGUUCCUACGGUACCUCUUUCUAGCGGAUUUUCUUGUUCCAGUAUUACAACAUGGCUCCCGUAUUUCAACAUAGGUCCUACCCGAACGUGGACCAACUCCAGGUAGCCUUUAUCCUGGUAGGACGAACGUUCUAGUACCUGAAGGUGUUUCUGUUCAUAUUGUUCCUACAGUUCAUCUUUCUCGUGCAUUUUUGGUUCCCUUCCCUCCUCAUUUACUCUACCACCCUAACUGAGAUUGGACAGUUAGACGACCAAAACUACCGACAUCAUACACAACAAGUCAACGUUGUAUUCUGUACCAACACGUACAAAACUAGGAACAACACCUUAGCUUUGUUGAGGAACAUAUCAAAUAAACUAAUAACGACGGUCAUAAGACGGACACUCGGUACCACAACUAAAGUUCACCUUCUUGGCGACAGGCAACAAAAGUCCCAGGUUCUUCAUACAAAAGAACAUAAAUCAAAAACAAAACUGGAACACUUUGAACGAUGGAUACCUACUUUGACACAUUAUAACUACUUUGAUACAUAUACAUGCCUACUUUGAACGAUGAUAACCAUUGUACCAACCUAUGUAUACACAAGU
rnacentral:rRNA from 1 species